GGUGGCUCAGUGGUAGAGCAUUUGCCUUGCAUGCAUGAGGCCCUGGGUUUGACUCCCCAGCACCA
rnacentral:tRNA from 1 species